CACGUAGGCGGAUUGUUUAGUCAGGGGUGAAAUCCCGAGGCUCAACCUCGGAACUGCCUUUGAUACUGGCAAUCUCGAGUCCGGAAGAGGUGAGUGGAAUUCCUAGUGUAGAGGUGAAAUUCGUAGAUAUUAGGAAGAACACCAGUGGCGAAGGCGGCUCACUGGCCCGGUACUGACGCUGAGGCACGAAAGCGUGGGGAGCAAACA
rnacentral:rRNA from 1 species